UGUGGUAGACGAAGAAGACGUCGGAAGCGUAAGAAAGAACGUACACGGAGGAAGAUCCAGUCGGAUCUAUUGGUUUCUGGUUUGUAAAACCAUGUGCAGAAGCAAGGUGAUCUAUCUUGAGGCUAGAGUCAUAGUCUGGUGUGAGAUUAUGAUGAAGAGACUUACUAGCUAUGUUGUGUUAUUCACAAGAAAGGAAAGAUCCGUAGAGGCUGAAGCAAGAAU
rnacentral:lncRNA from 1 species